rnacentral:rRNA from 1 species
GACGAACGCUGGCGGCGUGCUUAACACAUGCAAGUCGAGCGAUGAAGCACCUUCGGGUGUGAAUUAGCGGCGAACGGGUGAGGAACACGUGAGAAAUCUGCCUUCAACUCUGGGAUAACUCCGUGAAAACGGGGCUAAUACCGGAUAUGAAACCUGCGGGCAUCCGCGGGUUUGGCAAGUUUUUCGGUUGAAGAUGAUCUCGCGGCCUAUCAGCUUGUUGGUGAGGUAAUGGCUCACCAAGGCGACGACGGGUAGCCGGCCGGAGAGGGCGACCGGCCACACUGGGACUGAGACACGGCCCAGACUCCUACGGGAGGCAGCAGUGGGGAAUAUUGGGCAAUGGAGGAAACUCUGACCCAGCGACGCCGCGUGCGGGAUGAAGGCCUUCGGGUUGUAAACCGCUUUCAGCAGGGAAGAAGCGAAAGUGACGGUACCUGCAGAAGAAGCACCGGCCAACUAUGUGCCAGCCGCCGCGGUAA